rnacentral:rRNA from 1 species
UACGUAGGUGACAAGCGUUGUCCGGAUUUACUGGGCGUAAAGAGCGCGCAGGCGGUCGUUCAAGUCGAGUGUGAAAGCCCCCGGCUCAACUGGGGAGGGUCAUUCGAUACUGAUCGACUCGAAGGCAGGAGAGGGAAGUGGAAUUCCCGGUGUAGUGGUGAAAUGCGUAGAUAAUCGGGAGGAACACCAGGUGCGGAAGGCGGACUUCCUGGCCUGUUCUUGACGCUGAGGCGCGAAAGCUAGGGGAGCAAACGGG